UUAAGUUCAGCGGGUAUUCCUACCCGAUCCGAGGUCAAACUUGUGUUCGGUUCACGACCGAUGCGAACGCGUAAGGCAGGCCGUGCGAGCUGCGCGCCAGUAAGUAGUUACGGCACCUGCUACUGCACUCCUAAUAGCCGACGCAUUUGAGGUCCGGGUUGGUCCCGGAGCCCAAUACCAAGCCAGGCUUGAGGGUUUUA
rnacentral:misc_RNA from 1 species